rnacentral:lncRNA from 1 species
GACGUUGGCUCCUAGGGACAUUCGAGCUCAAUAGGACGAAGAUCAUCGAAAGUUGCACCAAUUUCACUCUGUGGCUUAGUUGAUGUCUAGGCAAGCUUUGUCCCUAUAAGGGAGACAGUUCAUCUGUUCGAGGCAAGUGGAUUUUAAGUGGGACCUUUGCGAAUGCAUCGUGACCCCUCCACUUACCUGGGAGCUUAUGAUAAGUGCUAAAUAAUGUAUAAAUUAAUCUAUUUUUCAUGGCACUUAUGAUUAUUUUUAUACACAUAUUUUUAGAUUUAAACAUAAGAAAAUGUGUUCCCCUUCAUUACGGCAUUAUUAAAAAUAAUUCGAGUUUGCUUAAUUUUAUUGGUCGAGUCUCAUGUGUGCAGGUCGUGUUUGCAGCUGAACCCAUGUCCACGUCACCCUUUAAGUACUUAGAGAUCAAGCUUCCACUCUCCCUCUCAUGUCCAAAGAAUAGAACAAACAUCUCCCCCGCUCAAAUAAUCCCAACCGAAUCCACAUGUUAAUUCCCCUGCUUUACAUCUCGUGUAUGCUCUUCCCUUCCGCAUCUUUCUCGUCUUCCACUUCUUCCACGCAUCGGGCUCAUCACAUCCACCCAACCGUGAUCUUCUCCCGUUCGGAUCAGCACCCCAUUUCUUCCGAACGCCCACGGAAAAGCUCCAGUCCCAGUAAAUCUCAGCAUCCCAACCUCUUGCCCGAUCAAUUACAUCCUUAUCCCGCUGCCAACCACUUCAAGCUUCUUCCCGUUCAUCAUCCACGAGCAAGCUCAGCCCCAGCUCAUCUCCCCUCCUCUUCA